CGGUUCACACAUAUUCACUUGCACCGGCUCAGGUCCUUUUGGGGCUGGGGCCGGGGCAGGGGCAGGAACUGGAACUGGUACUGGAACCGGAACAGGGGCUGGAGCCGGUUCCUUUGGCUUGGGUUUUUCCGCAGGCUUAUCAGCAGGAGGUUUAGGCUUUUCUGGCUCUUUAGGCUUUUCUGGUUCCUUAGGCUUCUCAGGCUCUUUAGGCUUUUCCGGGGCUUUAGGUUUCUCAGGCUCCUUAGGCUUCUCGGGAGCUUUGGGUUUCUCAGGCUCUUUAGGCUUCUCCGGAGCUUUUGGUUUCUCGGGUUCCUUAGGCUUCUCCGGAGGUUUAGGCUUAGGAUCCUCCAAAAUCUCAAUACUCUUAAUAUAUUUACCACCUCUGUAACAAAGCUUGUCACGAAUCUUCUCAGGGCUGCAGCAUACCACCUUAAUUCUGACUCUACUACCCUUCUCAUCAUAUAUCUGGUCCCUAAUUUCUACAAACCAAAAAUCCCACACCACAUAAAAUAUCUCAGUUCACAUCCACAAAAAUAAAUACAGCUAAUAAAAAGGAACAUUUUAAAAAGCAAA
rnacentral:lncRNA from 1 species